rnacentral:lncRNA from 1 species
CAAAGCCCUAGGGUCUAUAUUUAUACCCUGCUCGAAAGAGCUACAACCAGACAUGACUAGAACUCGAAUUCCAAACUAAACAGAAUCCGUAUAUAAGACGAUUUAAAUAACUAAGGAAAAACAUAAAACUAUCCCCCAUGACAACCUGGGACGCCACGAUAGACCAAUCGGCAACCUUCAAGUCUUCCUUCCACGUCAUCGGCAGACUCUCCAUCGUAGCCAUCGGCAAAGGUUAUUACCGGCCAUCGGCACAAACACGUCACCACCCAUGGACUUAGCCACGGCUAGCCAUCUCCUCAUCGGUAACCACCCUCAUCGGCAACUCUUCUGCAGACCACUUACCGUUGCCCUGUCUUGCCGAUCUAUACUCUACCAAUCCUGGGUACGUGUCCAAAAAUGGUGUCAACAAUGAUUAAGACCAAUGUGAAAAUAUCGAGGAAAAACAUGGUCUUGUAGGGCUAGGUUUAAACCAGAAUUUAUAGAAAGAUUAAAAGAUUCCCUAGGUGUAGCUAAAAGUUCAUUAUCUUCUUGAUUAAAAGAUAGGACCUCGGCUAUAAAAAAGGGUUGGUUUUGACCUAUUGCAAUCAACUCCGAACACAGAUCAUAAUUAGGGGCAGGACUUGUUGACUCCCAUGGUCUGUGGCUGGUCUCCGAAGGUGCAAAGAAUUCAGUAAUAGGUAUGGAAUUUAAGUUAUCCAUAA